UUUACAGGAGGUGUACCAAAAGUCCCGUGUCCGGAUUUUGAAUGAGUGCUUCAUUUCAGGAUCAAUUACCUUAAGCUUCCCACAAACUGAAAGCUUCUGGAAGAAAAGAACUGGGUUUGGACUUCUCAGGAGCCUGUGCCCCCUCCUGGAAAGGGCACAGACUUAGAGUUCAACCCAGGUUCAACUCCUGGCUUUUAGCCAUUAACAGCCCUAUGACCUUGGGUGUUCAUAUCAAGCACACGUGAUUUUUAUAAGUGGAUAUGGAUAAUGAGACAAAGGAAAAAUGAUUGGUAAACACUGCGUGCAGGACUCUGGGGACCCAGAGCAAACUCCAGUUGCAAAACCACCACCUGCACCUGUGCACUGGCAACAAAUUGACAGCCCCAGCCCUUCUCUGAAGAUCAGGAAGAUUCUCAGGAAUGGUUGCCCCUUGGACUGGUGGAGGAGCAGGAAUUCUGGGAAGAGAACCGUUCCAGGAGCCUGGCCUGCCCUUGAGAUACAGUGAGUUUUCCUCUGGAGGUCUUGUCAUGUCUGGAAAUAUUGAAGCCAUCUUGCCAUCACCUUGAGGAGUUGAAGCCUGAGGAUGGCAGAGCAGAAAGACGGUAAGAGCCUAGAUCUGUAAUCACAUAGCUGGGCCACUGAAACUGCCUACCCAGCUCUCUGCCCCUUAAGAAUUACAAUUAUUGCAAUUAAUGCAUUUCCUUAUUGUUUAAAGAUGCUUGAAUCUGUUUCUCUGGCUUGAGGCCAAAAGCAUCCUAACUGAAACAACUUGCCAUAUAAUAAAUAUUUGUCAGUUAUAACUUGAUUUUAAAGUGAUGGCCUUCGAAACAAAAGAGAAUGUUGUCUGAG